GACGAACGCUGGCGGCGUGCCUAAUACAUGCAAGUCGAACGCAGUGGGGACGGGUGAGUAACACGUGGGUAACCUCCCAUCAGAGGGGAUAACACUUGGAAACAGGUGCUAAACCGAUACUGAUGGAUGGACCCGCGGUGCAUUAGCUAGUUGGUGAGGUAACGGCUCACCAAGGCCACGAUGCAUAGGCGACCUGAGAGAGUGACCGGACACACUGGGACAGAGACGCGGCCCAGGCUCCAACGAGAGGAAGCAGUAGGGAAUCAUCGGCAAUGGACGAAAGUCUGACCGAGCCACGCCGCGUGAGUGAAGAAGGUUUUCGGAUCGUAAAACUAUGUUGUUAGAGAAGCGGUAUCUAACCAGAAAGCCACGGCUAACGACGUGCCAGGCGCCGCGGUAAUUC
rnacentral:rRNA from 1 species